AAUUGACGGGGGCCCGCACAAGCGGUGGAGCAUGUGGUUUAGUUCGAGGCAACGCGAAGANCCUUACCAGCUUUUGACAUCCCGGUCGCGGUUAGCAGAGAUGCUUUCNUUCAGUUCGGCUGGACCGGUGACAGGUGCUGCAUGGUUGUCGUCAGCUCGUGUCGUGAGAUGUUGGGUUAAGUCCCGCAACGAGCGCAACCCUCGCCUUUAGUUGCCAGCAUUUAGUUGGGCACUCUAGAGGGACUGCCGGUGAUAAGCCGGAGGAAGGUGGGGAUGACGUCAAAUCAUCAUGGCCCUUACGGGCUGGGCUACACACGUGCUACAAUGGCGGUGACAGUGAGCAGCCACUCAGCAAUGGGGAGNUAAUCUCUAAAAGCCGUCUCAGUUCGGAUUGUUCUCUGCAACUCGAGAGCAUGAAGUUGGAAUCGCUAGUAAUCGUGGAUCAGCAUGCCACGGUGAAUACGUUCCCGGGCCUUGUACACACCGCCCGUCACACCAUGGGAGUUGGUUUUACCCGAAGACUGUGUGCUAACUUAGGAGNCAGCAGGCCACGGUAAGGUCAGCGACUGGGGUGAAGUCGUAACAAGGUAGCCG
rnacentral:rRNA from 1 species